GUUUUAAACAGAAAUGAUGGACGUGACAUCUAUGAAAUAAGCAGAAAAACAAACACACUUUAUCAAAUUUCAUUAAUUGAUUAGUUUAAUGAACCGAAUUUCGUUGCAAACGUUUUAACAGUAUAAAAGUGAUAAUACUGCAGACGUGAAUAUAGAAGAAUGCGUGUUUUUCAUUUUUAUUCUUGGCUAAAUAUGUAAAUAUUAAAAAAGAUAUAUGUAAAGAGUAUGGCAAGGAUGUCAAAAAUUCAAAUAUUGUUGUUGGUUGUGAUCACAUCAACAUCAUCAACGACAUUGCCUUCUAUGACAUCAAUGAGUUCAUCUACUACGAAAUCAACAAUGUCAUCUUCUAAGGCAUCAAUGAUUCCACAUUUAACUCCGUCAAAGAUUUCACAUUCUAAUUCAGUAACGACUUCAUCUUCUGAGGAAAUGAC